rnacentral:misc_RNA from 1 species
CAUCUUCCUAACCGAAAACUUAAGACCCAAAACAGCUCCACUUGAUGAAACCACCUCUAAGUAAACAUAUUUUUGCCGACAACCAUGGAGCAACAGGACAAACGAAUGGUGCUGGAGAGGACAAGCAACGUGAUGACUAGGAGAGUCUUAAGACAAGAAGAAGCUCUGAUAAUGCUCAAAGAUUGACUCAACUUGUUAAAUAGAGAACCAAAUCUAG